rnacentral:misc_RNA from 1 species
UUUCUUUCUUUUUCAAGUUUAUUACAUCCAUAACUUUGCAAAGUAAAAGUGUGUUACAAAAAAUUGUAAAGGGCUUCAAGUGCACAGUGUGUGAGAUUGGGGAUUGUCGAGCCUCUUGCGAGCGCUCUUGAAUCGGCAAUAAUCCUUCCGCAGGUUCACCUACGGAAA